CAGGAUUACCAGGAAAGUGAUGCUGUGUGUUUUGCAUUGCACUAUAUCAAGAGUCACGUAUGGGCUGGGUGCAGUGGCUCACGCCUGUAAUCCCAGAAAUUUGGGAGAUUAAGAUUUUCAAACUAGAAGUGGAAAAGCUACUGAAGCAUCUUACAAGGACAUAAAGUCAAAUUUGACCUCCCCACUGCCUUGGCUUUGGCAAAUGAAAGAAAAGCAGAAGUGAUAUGUGUCAUAUUGGAUGGAAAGAACUCCCCUGCCCUUCUCCUGUUUCAGUGAUUGCAGAAGCACUCAAGCUGAAGCCUCCCUCCCCUGUGUCUAUGAGUCACUCUCAUGAGCCAUACUUGCCACCCUGCACCAGAC